rnacentral:lncRNA from 1 species
UUCUUAGCAUUGGGUAUAUACAUUUCUCACCAUCUUAACUCUUCCUGGGAAGUGGCCAUCAGUUGCUUGAUUAUUAUUUUUAAAAUGUUAAAAGGAUAUUAUUCCUAUCAUUGUGGACAAUUAAAUCAUAUUUGAUAGUUAUUGGAACUCCCAGAAACUUAAGAAAUAAGAAAAUACAGUUUCAGUAAGAUUAAAAUAUCUAAAACUAGCACUGUAGUCUUUUUUACAAUGAACUAUUCAAGGAGGUAGGUUCAUCUGGAAUAAUGGAUACUUCCUCUCACUCUUGAGUAUCCAACAUUUCAGACCAUCUGCAGACUUGGGUAAUCUCUCUUCCCAGCCAAGCACCCCUUCUGUCCAUCUCCAGCUCUGCUGCCAUUGCCUUAGCUCAGACCCGCAUUGCUUCUCUCCUGGGGCCUGCAGUAGUGAGCUGUUUACCUUUGCUUUCUAUCACCUCUAGUACUUUCCCAUAUAAUGUGUCCUCUGUUUCAGAAUGGUCAUAUUUAAAUCUUUAUCAAGUAUCCUGUAUCAGAGGAUAAUAAACCAACCGUAGAGUUUCAUUACCACUGGAACAAACAGUCUCCUUUUAUUGUUUGUUGUAUGGAAAAUCUGGACAUAGAUUAGUUCUUACACCACAUAUCCAGGUUGCCACAUUUCUGUAACAAAGUUGUUCUCAUCUUGUGGGUUACUCAUAAGCCCUUUAGCAGUUGAAUGAUCCUUUCUCAGGGAUUGCAUAUCAGAUAUUUAUAUUAGAAUUCAUAACAGUAGCAAAAUUUCAACUAUGAAGUACCAAUGAAAAUAAUUUUAUAGUUGGAGGUCACCACAACAUGCAGAUGUGUCCUAAAGGGUCACAGCUUUAGGAAGGUUGAAAACUACUGAUCUAACACAUUCAUACUUUAAGCUGCUUUGGUUAUAACUGACUGCUUGUUUCUGAGUAUUUGCUAGGUAUAUAUCCUAGGGUUUUAUUGCUGUGAAUAGAUAUCAUGACCAAGGCAACUCUUACAAUGGAAAACAUUUAAUUGGGCCUGGUUUACAGUUCUGAGAUUUAAUCUAUUAUUGUCAUGUUGGGAAGCUUGCUGGCAUACAUGCAGACAUGGUCCUGGAGAGAUAACUGAGAGUUCUACAUCUAGAUCUGCAGGAAGCAGGAAGGGAAGAGAGACUGGGGAAGCUCCAGCAUCUGAAACCUCAAAGCCUAUUCCCACUUCCUCCAGCAAUGUUUCACCAACUCCAGCAAGGCCCCUCUUCCAAUAAUGCCACCUCCAUAAGUUUGUGGGGUGGGGCAUUUUCAUUUAAAAAACCUGAGUAUAUCUGGCCCAAAUUCCCACUGGGAGCUUUCUCUGGUGUUAGGUUUCAUUUGUUUUUGUUUUUGUUUUUGUUUUUCCUGUGUUUUGCAGCAUCCCAUAGCAUUUGUUUGAGCAUAAUAGUUUAUUUAUUGUCUGACUGCCUAAUUUUAAUUUAGGUUUUUAAGGGAAGAAAAUACUUUGUUUCUUUCAAUAAUAAGACUUAUGGAAAGUGUCUGUGAAGUGGCUGGCUGAUUGAAGCUCAGCAGUGAGCCCAUUCCAGAUUUCCCCCCAUGUGCAGCAGUGUUCUGUGUGACAUUACAGUGGGGGAAAGGAGACCUUGGGUUCAUAUUGGAUAGAGGGAAUGCAUCACUUCCUGUGUUGUUCACACUAUAAGAAAAGACUUAAUUAUUUAGG